rnacentral:lncRNA from 10 species
GAACUGAUACUUUUCCUGAUUUAUUGGUCUGAAGCUUGAUGCAUAUGGAGGCCUGAAAAAUAAGGAUGUGGCAUACAGACAGGCUCUCCUGGUGUUAUCAGGCAUCUAUGCAUGUGAUAUGCAGGGAGAAUUUGGUGGAUGGAACUUAAGCCGGUACCAGGGGGGCGGGGGAAGAGUUGGGAAAGGACGCCAUCUGUGCCCAUGAUGACAAAUGCCAUCAUGGAGACUUCAUUCGGGGUCCCUUUUAUAUAUUUAGUGAAGCAGAUUUUCCAUUUCACACUUUCUAGAUAUAUUUGUAUUGCACAGAUGUCAGGGAAAUAUCAUGUGUGUGAAAGAAAAAAAAAAGAUCAAAAUUCACAUCCAUGGCCAGGGAUUGUAAUUCAAUCAUUUUGUCCUGAAAUUGACAUCCAUUUAACGUGCAUGGAUGUUCCCUGCUUUUGCUUUUGCUUUGGGGGUUCAAGUCAGAGCAGUUGGAGAAACAUAAAUCUCAGCCCUACACAUUGUUAAAAUUCAGAGAUCUAGGUUAAGGGGGGAAAAGAUGGGGAGAAUAAAAUUAAACAUAUAAGACCUUGCCAUCAGUGCCGUCAGUACCAGAGCUGAUGAAAUCAAUCAGCAAGUGAUUCCUCAUCCUCUUUCCUGUAACACACAGAUGAGCUGAAGAAACCACAGGACGCAGUCAGAUAUGCUUCAAAAAGGUUGUCCCACUGGCCUUCUUCACUCCCUCCAUCUCAGCCUCUAAAGACAUAUUUUAUUGUGACAUAUUUGAUUUUGACAAACAGCACAUUGAACAUAUAUGAAAUAUAUGAAGCAAAAUAUGACACACACCCACCAUGCAGCCUGAGACCAGAAGAUCACCAUCUUAUUUGAAGCUACUUUUGUGUUUCUGCCACCUCUCACCUUUUGCCUGUCUUGAGAGCACCUCGAUCAGGCUCCCUACUAAAUGCUGAGCUCCUCUAGGUUAAGGGCUUGUCACACUUCUCUUAGUAUUCCUGAAACUACUUGCCUCAGUAUCUGCCUCAGCAGGUACUUCUUUCUCCGAAUGUGAAAUGAGCUCAAGGAACAACCUAAGAGUUGAGAAGGUCUGCAUUUCGUUGCUUCUAGAAUGCUAUACGCCAUGUUGUGUCCACAAAAUGCGUACCCCAAAGGACAGAUGAAAUGAAACCAUAGAUAAACGUGUAAGAGGUACUUUUGAAAGCAGAGCUAUAAAACUCAGUUCCAUAUUCAUCAUGGCUUGGAUGUCCAGAACUUGCUUACAUCUAUUUGUGGACUUUUUUGUAUCAAAGGGAAUGGAUCAAUCAAAUAAGAAAAGAAGAGUGCAUUGGGAGUCAGGAGACUGAGGUGUGGUCUGGCUCUGCUGCUAACUUCAAGUUUACACUCAAUUGAUCAAGUCCCUUGAUGACAUGGAACUAAAGUGACUUUUGAAGAACAUGAGUACCUCAAGGAUCUUGCUAAAAUACAGAUUCUGAUCUAGAGAGAUGGUCCCGUGGUCCCAAGACAGAGGCUGGAGAAGAUACAGAACAAAUACAAGUGAAAGAUAGUACAUACGUGAGACAGUUAUAAGCAUUGAAAGCAUAAUGCAGCCUUGUGAGAUAGUGAACUCUCCAUUCCUGGAAGUAUUCAAGCUAAGGUUGGAGAGGUGAUGACGGUUUCCAUUAUUUUGGAGGGUGAACUUCCAAGGUGAAGAACAUGAGUCUUAGAGAAGUCAAAGAAGUUGCCUAAGGUCACAUGAGCAGUGAGCAGAGGAGUUGCUUACCUUUGUUAGACUCCAAAUCCUGUGUGACUAUGAAACUCAUUAACUGAAACAACCCGGCACCUUUGGACCUGUGCAGGCAAAGGCAAGGGAGUUGACCAGGAGCACACAGCACAGACGAGAACAGUCCCAAAGCCUUUUGCUGUAUCCCAUCUGUGCAAACCACUCCCAAUAAACAAACAAACACACA